CCUCUGCGGGAAAAGGAUUUUCAACAUGGAUAGUUGUUUGCCCACAUACAGUAGUACUAAGUUUGAAGGUAAAAUAGCUACCCUCAGACCAAACACUAGAAGGAUAGACCCUAACACAAACUUGCAGGGGGAAAAAUAAUGUUAACAUUUAAAAUGAGUCUUUAAAGUAGAUGACAUGGAAUAAGGUCUUCCAAAUAAUUUCCCCUUUUUUGCCCCAUUUAAAUUUCAUAUGGCAAAGAAAUAAGCUAUUUGGAGUAAGGAUGCCUCAGGAUUUUGGGCACAAAUAGACUGGGUUCAAAUGAACCUCCGUUUCACUUUUAUAUACCUUCCCUUAAGGUCUCACAACAUCAUCUCAGGAGUACUCUUCCACACCAAAACUGAAGGAAAUUCCACCCACUUAACUGUAUCUCAAUCCAUUUUUUACGGAGUUUAGGGAGAACUAUCAAGAGUGGUGCAAAACUGCAGGUCACUGUGCAGGCCACCAGAUACUCCCAUCCAACAGAAGCUGGCUGUACUCACCCGGAACCAUGGUGCACCACCACAGCGGCGAGGUCGUACAGGCAGCUCUCUGGGCCACUGUUCUCGGGCUACAGAACAAGGAAGAAGGCAUCCACAGGAUGGAGUUAGGAACAGUGAUCAAUGACAUCAACAUCUCCUAUCUCGAUGACUUCUGCCCUCUCCAUGUGAUGACAGUCUUUUCGCCAUGCUAAAACGGUAAUCACCUUACCUCUAAUAAAGAUUACCCCUUUCUCCUAAACGUGUCAGGAGGAUGCUGUGAGCAAUCACUGAGGGAGAGCACGCUGCAAACACAGAAAGCCUAGAAGGUCUUGAACCAUCCAUUCCGAACACCACUGAAGCACAGUGUACAGCAACACAUGGCAACUGUCUUUUCACAAGGUUUUGGCACAAUAAAUACAAACAAAUUUCCAUAAAUCUUAAA